rnacentral:lncRNA from 1 species
CUUAAAAAACCAUAAAAUAAAAAACAAUAUACAUAACACUAGGAAAUGACAUAUGCCGCUUCUAAAUGUUGAGAAGAUAAAGCUAGUGACCUCUUAACAAGUCGAUGACGGUGUAGAAACGAUGAAAUGAAUCAAUAGCCGGAGAUGAGAGCAAGAACAAGCAACUGCAAAUGAAGAACACAGCAAAAGAGUGAAGAUCGAUGGGCUCGGCCAC